rnacentral:rRNA from 1 species
GAUGAACGCUGGCGGCGUGCCUAAUACAUGCAAGUCGAGCGAACGGACGAGAAGCUUGCUUCUCUGAUGUUAGCGGCGGACGGGUGAGUAACACGUGGAUAACCUACCUAUAAGACUGGGAUAACUUCGGGAAACCGGAGCUAAUACCGGAUAAUAUUUUGAACCGCAUGGUUCAAAAGUGAAAGACGGUCUUGCUGUCACUUAUAGAUGGAUCCGCGCUGCAUUAGCUAGUUGGUAAGGUAACGGCUUACCAAGGCAACGAUGCAUAGCCGACCUGAGAGGGUGAUCGGCCACACUGGAACUGAGACACGGUCCAGACUCCUACGGGAGGCAGCAGUAGGGAAUCUUCCGCAAUGGGCGAAAACCUGACGGAGCAACGCCGCGUGAGUGAUGAAGGUCUUCGGAUCGUAAAACUGUGUUAUUAGGGAAGAACAUAUGUGUAAGUAACUGUGCACAUCUUGACGGUACCCAAUCAGAAAGCCACGGCUAACUACGUG